AUUGAACGCUGGCGGCAGGCCUAACACAUGCAAGUCGAGCGGAUGAAGGGAGCUUGCUCCUGGAUUCAGCGGCGGACGGGUGAGUAAUGCCUAGGAAUCUGCCUGGUAGUGGGGGAUAACGUCCGGAAACGGGCGCUAAUACCGCAUACGUCCUGAGGGAGCAAGUGGGGGAUCUUCGGACCUCACGCUAUCAGAUGAGCCUAGGUCGGAUUAGCUAGUUGGUGGGGUAAAGGCCUACCAAGGCGACGAUCCGUAACUGGUCUGAGAGGAUGAUCAGACACACUGGAACUGAGACACGGUCCAGACUCCUACGGGAGGCAGCAGUAGGGAAUAUUGGACAAUGGGCGAAAGCCUGAUCGAGCCAUGCCGCGUGUGUGAAGAAGGUCUUCGGAUUGUAAAGCUCUGUAAGUCGGGAGGAAGGGCAGUAAGUUAAUACCUUGUUGUUUUGACGGUCCCAACAUAAUAAGCACCGGCUAACUUCGUG
rnacentral:rRNA from 1 species